rnacentral:rRNA from 1 species
AUUGAACGCUGGCGGCAGGCUUAACACAUGCAAGUCGAGCGGGGUGAUGGUGCUUGCACUAUCACUUAGCGGCGGACGGGUGAGUAAUGCUUAGGCAUCUGCCUCUUAGUGUGAGACAACAUCUCGAAAGGGAUGGUAAUACCGCAUACGUCCUACGGGAGAAAGCAGGGGAUCACUUGUGACCUUGCGCUAAUAGAUGAGCCUAAGUCGGAUUAGCUAGUUGGUGGGGUAAAGGGCUACCAAGGCGACGAUCUGUAGCGGGUCUGAGAGGAUGAUCCGCCACACUGGGACUGAGACACGGCCCAGACGCCUACGGGAGGCAGCAGUUGGGAUUAUUGGACAAUGGGGGGAACCCUGAUCCAGACAUGCCGCGUGUGUGAAGAAGGCCUUAUGGUUGUAAAGCACUUUAAGCGAGGAGGAGGCUCUUUUGGUUAAUACCCAAGAUGAGUGGACGUUACUCGCAGAAUAAGCACCGGCUAACUCUGUGCCAGCCGCCGCCGUAA